rnacentral:lncRNA from 10 species
ACAUUAUCUAUGUAUGAUCAUUUUAGAGAUUGAGGAAAAUAAACUCAAGAACUGGUGACUUGCCCAGGUCACACUACUGGUGGGUAGCAAAACAGCAGCUAGAAUCUAUAGCUUCUGGCUUUCCAGCCAGUCCUUGUUCCACUACAUUCAUUACUUCUUUGCUGGACUGAAAAGCUUAGGACUUUUCCUGUAAGUAAUACGGAGCCAUUGAAGAUCUGAAGUUUCAAGGAAGUGGUAGGAUGGAUUCUCUUUUACUAUAAGAUGAGGAUGAGGAAGCGGAGGAUCAGAGCUUACGUGAUUGGCUCAGUAUCACACAGUACCACACAAUAAACGAUGAGGAGAUUCUGGCUCACAGAGGUGAAGUGAUCUGCUCAAGAUGAAAUAGCCAGCUGGUGAAAUUACUGAGACAAGCACUCAGGUUCAGAGUCUGGCUUGCAGACAAGGUACAGAUGGAAAUCUUCCUGGACUCAGGCCAAGAAGAGGAGAAAGGCCCUGUGCCCAUCCUGCUGUGAUUCAGGAGUCUCGCAGAAGACAUCAGAAUGCCUUUCUCUGAGUCACAGUCUGUAUCUUCUAGAAAAGGCUGUCCAUCUUCACCCCAAGCCCACUGGCUCCUGAGAUACGACAUCCAGACCCAGUGCAGCUGGACCUGGCCCAGGAAGAUCAUGCGGUUUCUGGGAAGCACUGGAGAAGGAAAAGGCUGAAGAAAGGAAGACCGGAAAAGAAAUACAAGUCCUUCCGCCUUGGCAAAGAUGAUAGUACCGUUCCCUUCAGUGUUCCGGUUCUGCUCUAUUGGAUAAGUUCCGGUUUGACUAUGACUACGUGAAAAUGUGGAACCAGACCUUCACCCCACAUUCCAGCUCCAGCUCUACCACAGAGGAAGUGCAAUAUCACCUUAGUUAUUCAACACAUUAUGCUCCUCGUGAUACAACCAGAGUUCACAUCAGCAAUCUUGGCAGCUCUCACCACGCUGCUGACUCACGACUCUCUCAUGUCCCAAUUUCCUGUCCAUUGUUCUUUCCUCUACUUGGCCUGAUUUCUAAAGGCCUCUCUUGGUUGCAUUAAGCGGGAUUCCUGAGGGAUUCCCUUGGCAGUUACCUUGGGGGAGCUCUUAGGUUUGGGGCUGAUCCAUGUCCUCUAAAUGUAGGACUUCAAAGCUCCCAAAGAUAGGCAGGCCCAGUGGGAAGCUGGGAAAUGCUCUCUGACCCCUCUGGGAGGGCUGGCAGUCAGAGGGCCUUUUGGAAAGAGUCAGACCUGAUCCAUAAGUCCCUGGAAAACACCCUGCCCAGGGAGCAAAUGCCACUGUGGCCUUGACUGAGGCUUCAGAAGAGUUUGGGAGCUGCAAUUCAUCCACACACGCAUUCAUUUUCAAGUAGUGGUUUGCAGUUCAGGCUUUGGAGCCACAUAAGCCUGGCUUCAAAGCCACUUUCCAGCUUUGUAGGAAGUCUCUACAUUUUUAAACCUCCAUUUUUUUUUCCUGUAAAACUGGGGUCUUCAUGGUACUUAACUUCAUCGUGAUGUUGAGAGAAUGAAAAGAAAAAGGAUAAAUAAAUGGCUUAGCCUCGUGCCUUGGCA